AUACGGAGGGUGCAAGCGUUGUUCGGAAUUAUUGGGCGUAAAGAGCAUGUAGGCGGUCCGUUAAGUCUGAUGAGAAAGCCCGGGGCUCAACCCCGGAAGUGCAUUGGAUACUGGCAAACUUGAGUACGGGAGAGGAAAGUGGAAUUUCGAGUGUAGGGGUGAAAUCCGUAGAUAUUCGAAGGAACACCAGUGGCGAAGGCGGCUUUCUGGACCGAUACUGACGCUGAGAUGCGAAAGCGUGGGGAGCAAACAGGAUUAGAAACCCUAGUAGUCC
rnacentral:rRNA from 1 species